rnacentral:rRNA from 1 species
UACAGAGGGGGCAAGCGUUGUUCGGAAUUACUGGGCGUAAAGGGCGCGUAGGCGGCCUUCUAAGUCGAACGUGAAAUCCCCGGGCUCAACCCGGGAACUGCGUCCGAGACUGGAAGGCUCGAAUCCGGGAGAGGGAUGUGGGAUUCCAGGUGUAGCGGUGAAAUGCGUAGAUAUCUGGAGGAACAUCGGUGGCGAAGGCGGCAUCCUGGACCGGUAUUGACGCUGAGGCGCGAAAGCCAGGGGAGCAAACGGG